CAGUAGCCGCGGGAACACGGAGGGUGCAAGCGUUACUCGGAAUCACUGGGCGUAAAGGACGCGUAGGCGGAUUAUCAAGUCUCUUGUGAAAUCUAACGGCUUAACCGUUAAACUGCUUGGGAAACUGAUAAUCUAGAGUAAGGGAGAGGCAGAUGGAAUUCUUGGUGUAGGGGUAAAAUCCGUAGAUAUCAAGAAGAAUACCUAUUGCGAAGGCGAUCUGCUGGAACUUAACUGACGCUAAUGCGUGAAAGCGUGGGGAGCAAAUGGGAUUAGAUACCCCAGUAGUCCCUGUCUCUUAUAC
rnacentral:rRNA from 1 species